AUGCUGUGCAAGGCACUUUGCAGGUUUGGUAAAAAGCUGGUACGUAGACAUACACUGGCGCAAUACGUGGCUAAGAUUUCUCCUGCCGGAAGACUGAGCACUCUGGAUAUAGUGUCCCUGGGUGUGGGCAACACAGUGGGUGCAGGUUUGUAUGUCCUGGCUGAUGAGGUGGCGAGUGAAAUAGCAGGACCAUCCAUUGUGAUCUGCUUUUUGGUGGCCGCCCUGUCUUCUGUGCUAUGCAGAGUUUAGUGCCCAGGUUCCCCAGUCUGCUUCUGCGUAUCUCUACAGCUAUGUCACUGUGGGUGAACUCUGGGCUUUCAUCACUGGCUGGAACCUUAUCCUGUCUUGUGUUACUGGUAUGGCCAGUAUGGCCCGGGCCUGGAGUUUAGCUUUUGAUGGCCUGAUUGGGAACUGGAUCUCUUGGACCUUGAGUGAGAGGAUCUCACUGUAUGUUCCCUAUGUCCUUACAGAAUAUCCAGACUUCUUUGCUGUGGGCCUGGUGGUGUUGCUCACCGGAUUGCUGGCUCUGAGGGCUAGUGAGUUUGUCCUGGUUACUAUGGUGUUCACAGUGGUGAAUCUUUUGGUUCUUGGUUUUGUCAUCAUCUCUGGGUUCAUUAAGGGGAACCUGCACAACUGGAAGCUCACAGAAGAGGACUACAUAAUGACCAUGUCUAGACUCAAUGACACUUCUAGCUUGGGUCCUCUGGGCUCUGGAGGGUUUGUGCCUUUUGGCUUUGAGGGAAUUCUCUGUGGAACAGCUACCUGUUUCUAUGCAUUUACUGGUUUUGACAGCAUUAUUACUGCUGCCGAAGAAGCCCAGAAUCUAAAGCGUUCUGUCCCCAUGGGCAUUGUGAUUUCAGUGUUCAUCUGCUUUUUGGUGUAUUUUGGUGUCUCUGCGGCACUUACGCUCAUGGUGCCUUACUACCAGCUUCAACCUGGGAGCCCCUUGCCUCAGGCAUUUCUCCAUAUUGGCUGGGCCCCUGCCUGCUAUGUUGUGGCUGUUGGAGCCCUCUGUGCUCUUUCUACCGGCAUCUUGGAUUCUAUGUUCCUCAUUCGUUGGAUGAUCUAUGUGAUGGCAUACGAUGGCCUCCUGUUCGGUGUCCUUGCCAGGCUGUACACCAGGACAGACCUCCCCAUCAUGGCCACUGUGGCCUCGGGCAUUAUCACAGCUUUUGUGACAUUCUUCUUUGGACUCACCGCUCUUGUGGAACUCAUGUCGAUUGGGACCCUGCUUACAUACUCCCUGGUGGCUAUUUGUGUUCUCAUCGUCAGGUAUCAGCCUGAAAUGAAGGAUGAAGAUGAUGCAGCAGGGGCGCAGCGGAACAGCAGACCUGUGCUGGAGAAGCUGACCAUGUGGGGACUCUUUUAUCCAGGCAGCCCCACCCCCACCGCAUUCUCUGGCCUGGUUGUCUACGUUUGCUCCUCACUGCUUGCCCUGCUGCUGACUCUUCUUGGCCUGGCGCUGGCUCAGUGGCCAGUUCUGCUGCUUUCCGGAGAUGCAGUACUGAUUAUAGUGGUUGUGCUGCUCCUGGUGCUCAUCACUGGGAUCACUGGGGUCAUCUGGAGACAGCCACAGAGCUCUACUCCCCUUUACUUGAAGGUCCCUGCUCUGCCUCUCCUCUCACUCCUGAGCAUCUUUAUGAAUGUUUACCUUAUGAUGCAGAUGGCAGCUGGCACCUGGAUCCGAUUUGGUGUCUGGAUGCUGAUUGGGUUGGCUAUCUACUUUGGCUAUGGGAUCCAGCACGCACGCAGGAUUAAACCCACUUCAGUCAGGGCACAAACGGACGACCUUGAACUCAACAGUGCCAGUACAAGUUCGAUUUGA